rnacentral:snoRNA from 1 species
AGACGAUGAUGAUUUCAUAGUUCAACUUAACAGUACUUGACGAACAAAUUUCGCCCCUAGCUGAUGUCUU